GGGUCCUGUUAGUGUGCUGUGUGUGUGAGGGUGCUGUUUGUGUGAUGUGUGUGUGUGAGGGUGCUGUGUGUGAGAGUGCUGUUUGUCUCAUGUGUUUGUGAGGGUGCUGUUAGUGUGCUGUGUGUGAGGGUGCUGUUUGUGUGAGGGUGCUGUGUGUGUUUGUGAAGGUGCUGUUAGUGUGCUGUGUGUGAGGGUGUUGUGUGUUUGUAAGGGUGCUGUUUGUGUCGUGUAUUUGUGAGGGUGCUGUUAGUGUGCUGUGUGUGAGUGUGCUGUUUGUGUGAGGGUGCUGUGUGUGUUUGUGAGGGUGCUGUUAGUGUGCUGUGUGUGAGGGUGUUGUGUGUUUGUAAGGGUGCUGUGUGUGUGUGUUUGUGAGAGUGCUGUUAGUGUACUGUGUGUGUGAG